AAUCAACGCUGGCGGCGUGCCUAACACAUGCAAGUCGAACGCGAAGACCCCGCAAGGGGUUGUAGCGUGGCAAACGGGUGAGUAACGCGUGGGCGACCUACCUCUGAGUGGGGGAUAACCUUCCGAAAGGGAGGCUAAUACCGCAUGACAUCCCAUUUUUAGAUAGAUGGACAAUCAAAGCCGGGGAUCGCAAGACCUGGCGCUUGGAGAGGGGCCCG
rnacentral:rRNA from 1 species